CUGGUCAAACCUACAGAAUCUAGGACCAUCCUAGCCAAAGUGGGACAUAUCAUCACCCUAUCUAUAGAGAGAAGCUGGACUGGUGAAAGGAGCACUUCAACUAUUGCCUGAAUACCAGGAACAAAGAUUGCACACUCACUGGCCUCGAGCACUUUCGGCUUCUGCACAGCAAUUCCUCUUCAUCCCUAGUUUCAGGAGACAAAACAAGGAACAACAGCCUCCAGCUUCAGCAGAGGAAAUUUAGCCUGAGAUGGGGA